rnacentral:rRNA from 1 species
GACAGAGGGUGCAAACGUUUGUUCGGAAUUACUGGGCGUAAAGCGAGUGUAGGCGGUUUGGUAAGUCGGAUGUGAAAGCCCCGGGCUCAACCCGGGAAGUGCACUCGAUACUGCCAAGCUAGAGUGUCGGAGAGGUUGGUGGAAUUCUCGGUGUAGAGGUGAAAUUCGUAGAUAUCGGGAGGAACACCGGUGGCGAAGGCGGUCUCUUGGGGCAUUCUUGACGCUGAGGCGCGAAAGCUGGGGGAGCGAACGGG